rnacentral:rRNA from 1 species
AUUGAACGCUGGCGGCAGGCCUAACACAUGCAAGUCGAGCGAGCGGCGGACGGGUGAGUAAUGUCUGGGAAACUGCCUGAUGGAGGGGGAUAACUACUGGAAACGGUAGCUAAUACCGCAUACCAUCAGAUGUGCCCAGAUGGGAUUAGCUAGUAGGUUGGGUAAUGGCUCACCUAGGCGACGAUCCCUAGCUGGUCUGAGAGGAUGACCAGCCACACUGGAACUGAGACACGGUCCAGACGCCUACGAGAGGAAGCAGUGGGAGUUAUGGCACAAUGGGCGCAAGCCUGAUGCAGCCAUGCCGGGUGUGGGAAGAAGGCCUUCGGGUUGUAAAGCACUUUCAGCGGGGGGGCGUUACCCGCAGAAGAGGCACCGGCUAACUCCGUGCCAGCAGCCGCGGUAAUUC